rnacentral:misc_RNA from 1 species
GAAAUGCGAUAAGUAAUGUGAAUUGCAGAAUUCAGUGAAUCAUCGAAUCUUUGAACGCACAUUGCGCCCUUUGGCAUUCCGAAGGGCAUGCCUGUUCGAGCGUCAUUACACCAAUCACGCCUGGCGUGGUAUUGGGCGACGGGGCCGUCACACGCCCCGCGCCCCAACGACCCCCCGGCGGGACGGACCGUAUCUCAGCGUUGUGCAUCACGUAUUCGCUGGCGAGGACGGGACGGCCGAGCCGUUAAACGCCCCCCCUUCUUCAGGUUGACCUCGGAUCAGGUAGGGAUACCCGCUGAACUUAAGC